rnacentral:rRNA from 1 species
GACGAACGCUGGCGGCGUGCUUAACACAUGCAAGUCGAACGGAAAGGCCCUGCUUUUGUGGGGUGCUCGAGUGGCGAACGGGUGAGUAACACGUGAGUAACCUGCCCUUGACUUUGGGAUAACUUCAGGAAACUGGGGCUAAUACCGGAUAGGAGCUCCUGCUGCAUGGUGGGGGUUGGAAAGUUUCGGCGGUUGGGGAUGGACUCGCGGCUUAUCAGCUUGUUGGUGGGGUAGUGGCUUACCAAGGCUUUGACGGGUAGCCGGCCGGAGAGGGUGACCGGCCAAAUGGGGACUGAGAUACGGCCCAGACUCCUACGGGAGGCAGCAGGGGGGAAUAUUGCACAAUGGGCGGAAGCCUGAUGCAGCAACGCCGCGUGCGGGAUGACGGCCUUCGGGUUGUAAACCGCUUUCGCCUGUGACGAAGCGUGAGUGACGGUAAUGGGUAAAGAAGCACCGGCUAACUACGUG